UACGAAGGGGGCUAGCGUUGCUCGGAAUCACUGGGCGUAAAGGGUGCGUAGGCGGGUCUUUAAGUCAGAGGUGAAAUCCUGGAGCUCAACUCCAGAACUGCCUUUGAUACUGAAGAUCUUGAGUUCGGGAGAGGUGAGUGGAACUGCGAGUGUAGAGGUGAAAUUCGUAGAUAUUAGGAAGAACACCGGUGGCGAAGGCGGCCCACUGGCUCGAUACUGACGCUGAGGUGCGAAAGCGUGGGGAGCAAACAGG
rnacentral:rRNA from 1 species